rnacentral:tRNA from 1 species
UCCCUGGUAGCCUAGUGGUUAAGGCCUUGGCAUUGCCACUGCUGUGGCCUGGGCUACUGCCAUGGCUUGGGUUCAGUUCCUGGCCUGGGAA